UACGUAGGGGGCAAGCGUUGUCCGGAUUUAUUGGGCGUAAAGAGCGUGUAGGCGGCCUGGUAGGUCAGCUGUGAAAACUCGAGGCUCAACCUCGAGACGUCGGUUGAAACCACCUGGCUAGAGUCCGGAAGAGGAGAGUGGAAUUCCCGGUGUAGCGGUGAAAUGCGCAGAUAUCGGGAAGAACACCCGUGGCGAAGGCGGCUCUCUGGAACGCAACUGACGCUGAGACGCGAAAGCGUGGGGAGCAAACAGG
rnacentral:rRNA from 1 species